rnacentral:rRNA from 1 species
UGCCAGCAGCCGCGGUAACACGAACCGUCCAAACGUUAUUCGGUAUCACUGGGCUUAAAGCGUGCGUAGGCGGCUUGGAAGGUCAGAGGUGAAAUCCCACAGCUCAACUGUGGAACUGCCUUUGAAACCAUCAGGCUUGAGGGAGAUAGGGGUGAUCGGAACUUAUGGUGGAGCGGUGAAAUGCGUUGAUAUCAUAGGGAACACCGGUGGCGAAAGCGGAUCACUGGAUCUCUUCUGACGCUGAGGCACGAAAGCUAGGGUAGCGAACGGGAUUAGAUA